rnacentral:rRNA from 1 species
ACGAGAGGAUGAGGAAGCUUGCUUCUUCAGAAUCGAGUGGCAAACGGGUGAGUAACGCGUAAACAACCUGCCCCCGGGAUGGGGACAACAGCUGGAAACGGCUGCUAAUACCGAAUACGAUCAUACUGCCGCAUGGCAGCAUGAUGAAAGGAUGGCCUCUUAAAAAAGCUAUCGCACGGGGAGGGGUUUGCGUCUGAUUAGCUGGUUGGAGGGGUAACGGCCCACCAAGGCGAUGAUCAGUAGCCGGUCUGAGAGGACGAACGGCCACAUUGGAACUGAGACACGGUCCAGACUCCUACGGGAGGCAGCAGUGGGGAAUCUUCCGCAAUGGGCGAAAGCCUGACGGAGCAACGCCGCGUGAGUGAAGACGGCCUUCGGGUUGUAAAGCUCUGUUAUAUGGGACGAACGGCUGCGGGGCCAAUACCCCCGCAGCGUGACGGUACUGUAAGAGAAAGCCACGGCUAACUACGUGCCAGCAGCCGCGGUAAUACGUAGGUGGCAAGCGUUGUCCGGAAUUAUUGGGCGUAAAGGGCGUGCAGGCGGCUGAUCAAGUCUGUCUUAAAAGUGCGGGGCUUAACCCCGUGAUGGGACGGAAACUGAUUGGCUAGAGUGUCGGAGAGGAAAGCGGAAUUCCUAGUGUAGCGGUGA